CAGAGGAAAUCGAGCACUAACAAGCAAAGUGCCGCGGGAACCGUCAGGCGCCGCGCCAGAGGCUGUACGUAUCACGGCUAAUGGAGUCGUCGAGUGUUGCACAGACGCCUCGAGAAUGAUGAGGAUGGCACGUGGAUCAGUGGACGCGAGAAUUGGGUUUUACUCCAAUCUGGCAGCUGCCGCUGACGUGACGGAGCGGCGGCAGUGUGUUUGUCGCAGUUAUCAAUGCAGUCCAGGAAAAAAAUGUAUUGCUGAUGGACACGUGGCGCUGGGAAGGUUAUGAUUCACGCCGUGUUUUGCUCUCAGCUGCCCGCAAUACUACGCUACUAUUUUUC
rnacentral:misc_RNA from 1 species